rnacentral:rRNA from 1 species
UACGGGGGGGGCAAGCGUUGUUCGGAAUUACUGGGCGUAAAGGGCUCGUAGGCGGCCAACUAAGUCAGACGUGAAAUCCCUCGGCUUAACCGGGGAACUGCAUCUGAUACUGGAUGGCUUGAAUUCGGGAGAGGGAUGCGGAAUUCCAGGUGUAGCGGUGAAAUGCGUAGAUAUCUGGAGGAACACCGGUGGCGAAGGCGGCAUCCUGGACCGUGAUUGACGCUGAUGCGCGAAAGCCAGGGGAGCAAACGGG